AGUGAACGCUGGCGGUAGGCCUAACACAUGCAAGUCGAACGGCAGCACAGUAAGAUCUUGCUCUUACGGGUGUCGCGUGGCGGACGGGUGAGGAAUACAUCGGAAUCUACUUUUUCGUGGGGGAUAACGUAGGGAAACUUACGCUAAUACCGCAUACGACCUACGGGUGAAAGCAGGGGAUCUUCGGACCUUGCGCGAUUGAAUGAGCCGAUGUCGGAUUAGCUAGUUGGCGGGGUAAAGGCCCACCAAGGCGACGAUCCGUAGCUGGUCUGAGAGGAUGAUCAGCCACACUGGAACUGAGACACGGUCCAGACGCCGACGGGAGGCAGCAGUGGGGAAUAUUGGACAAUGGGCGCAAGCCUGAUCCAGCCAUACCGCGUGGGUGAAGAAGGCCUUCGGGUUGUAAAGCCCUUUUGUUGGGAAAGAAAAGCAGCAGGUUAAUACCCCGCUGUUCUGACGGUACCCAAAGAAUAAGCACCGGCUAACUUCGUG
rnacentral:rRNA from 1 species